rnacentral:rRNA from 1 species
UGGGGAAUAUUGGGCAAUGGGCGCAAGCCUGACCCAGCAACGCCGCGUGAAGGAAGAAGGCUUUCGGGUUGUAAACUUCUUUUGUCAGGGAAGAGGAGAAGACUGUACCUGGCGAAUAAGCCACGGCUAACUACGUGCCAGCAGCCGCGGUAAUACGUAGGUGGCAAGCGUUGUCCGGAUUUACUGGGUGUAAAGGGCGUGUAGCCGGGUCGGUAAGUCAGAUGUGAAAUCUACGGGCUCAACUCGUAAACUGCAUUUGAAACUGCUGAUCUUGAGUAUCGGAGAGGCAAUCGGAAUUCCUAGUGUAGCGGUGAAAUGCGUAGAUAUUA